GUCCACGCCGUAAACGAUGGAUACUAGCUGUUCGGAGCAAUCUGAGUGGCUAAGCGAAAGUGAUAAGUAUCCCACCUGGGGAGUACGCACGCAAGUGUGAAACUCAAAGGAAUUGACGGGGGCCCGCACAAGCGGUGGAGCAUGUGGUUUAAUUCGAUGAUACGCGAGGAACCUUACCAGGGCUUAAAUGUAGAUUGACAGGUCUGGAAACAGACUUUUCUUCGGACAAUUUACAAGGUGCUGCAUGGUUGUCGU
rnacentral:rRNA from 1 species